rnacentral:rRNA from 1 species
ACGAACGCUGGCGGCGUGCCUAACACAUGCAAGUCGAACGAAGCACUGCGGAAAGAGACUUCGGUCAAUGGAAGCUUUGACUUAGUGGCGGACGGGUGAGUAACGCGUGAGGAACCUGCCUUUCAGUGGGGGACAACAGUUGGAAACGACUGCUAAUACCGCAUAAUGUGUUUUGGGGGCAUCCCCGGAACACCAAAGAUUUAUUGCUGAAAGAUGGCCUCGCGUCUGAUUAGAUAGUUGGUGGGGUAACGGCCUACCAAGUCGACGAUCAGUAGCCGGACUGAGAGGUUGAACGGCCACAUUGGGACUGAGAUACGGCCCAGACUCCUACGGGAGGCAGCAGUGGGGAAUAUUGGGCAAUGGGGGAAACCCUGACCCAGCAACGCCGCGUGAAGGAAGAAGGCUUUCGGGUUGUAAACUUCUUUUACCAGGGACGAAGGACGUGACGGUACCUGGAGAAAAAGCCACGGCUAACUACGUGCCAGCAGCCGCGGUAAUACGUAGGUGGCAAGCGUUGUCCGGAUUUACUGGGUGUAAAGGGCGUGUAGGCGGGAGAGCAAGUCAGAAGUGAAAUCUAUGGGCUUAACCCAUAAACUGCUUUUGAAACUGUUCUUCUUGAGUAUCGGAGAGGCAGGCGGAAUUCCUAGUGUAGCGGUGAAAUGCGUAGAUAUUAGGAGGAACACCAGUGGCGAAGGCGACGGUCUGGGCCGCAACUGACGCUCAUUCCCGAAAGCGUGGGGAGCAAAUAGGAUUAGAUACCCUAGUAGUCCACGCCGUAAACGAUGAGUACUAAGUGUUGGGUGUCAAAGCUCAGUGCUGCAGUUAACGCAAUAAGUACUCCGCCUGAGUAGUACGUUCGCAAGAAUGAAACUCAAAGGAAUUGACGGGGGCCCGCACAAGCAGUGGAUUAUGUGGUUUAAUUCGACGCAACGCGAAGAACCUUACCGGGAUUUGACAUCCUACUAACGAAGCAGAGAUGCAUUAGGUGCCCUUCGGGGAAAGUAGAGACAGGUGGUGCAUGGUUGUCGUCAGCUCGUGUCGUGAGAUGUUGGGUUAAGUCCCGCAACGAGCGCAACCCCUAUUGUUAGUUGCUACGCAAGAGCACUCUAGCGAGACUGCCGUUGACAAAACGGAGGAAGGCGGGGACGACGUCAAAUCAUCAUGCCCCUUAUGUCCCGGGCUACACACGUAAUACAAUGGCGGUCAACAGAGGGAAGCAAAGCCGCGAGGCAGAGCAAAUCCCCAAAAGCCGUCUCAGUUCGGAUUGCAGGCUGCAACUCGCCUGCAUGAAGUUGGAAUUGCUAGUAAUCGUAGAUCAGCAUGCUACGGUGAAUACGUUCCCGGGCCUUGUACACACCGCCCGUCACACCAUGAGAGUCGGGAACACCCGAAGUCCGUAGUCUAACCGCAAGGAGGGCGCGGCCGAAGGUGGGUCUGAUAAUUGGGGUG